rnacentral:rRNA from 1 species
GACGAACGCUGGCGGCGUGCUUAACACAUGCAAGUCGAACGGGGUGUUUAUUUCGGUAAACACCAAGCGGCGAACGGGUGAGUAACGCGUAAGCAAUCUACCUUCAAGAUGGGGACAACACUUCGAAAGGGGUGCUAAUACCGAAUGAAUGUAAGAGUAUCGCAUGAGACACUUACUAAAGGAGGCCUCUGAAAAUGCUUCCGCUUGAAGAUGAGCUUGCGUCUGAUUAGCUAGUUGGUGAGGGUAAAGGCCCACCAAGGCGACGAUCAGUAGCCGGUCUGAGAGGAUGAACGGCCACAUUGGGACUGAGACACGGCCCAGACUCCUACGGGAGGCAGCAGUGGGGAAUCUUCCGCAAUGGGCGAAAGCCUGACGGAGCAACGCCGCGUGAACGAGUGAAGGUCUUAGGAUCGUAAAGUUCUGUUGUUAGGGAAGAUAAUGACGGUACCUGACUAAGAAGCACCGGCUAAAAUACGUG